GCCUCAUCCUAUUAACAAUUACGAAGACCCACUCUUUCUGCCUUCCUCGAUCGUCCGCCAUUUCCGAACGUCUCCACCUCAGUCUGGUUCUUCCCAUCUACAGAUGUUCAUCCCCGGGCAGAAGAGGAAGAAGAAGAGGUUACUCGCGUCUGAAACCGCUCAACCUCCAGAUACCCUAAGGAUCCUCCGCAUUGCAGCCGCUUCUAGGUUAGCUGUUGUCGUCCUUAUCGUCUUCUGGAGGCUCAUCGCUUCUCCCUACGACACCUCCGCCUCCUUGAACCCACCAUGCCUCUCACCAGUAACCGGCGCGAUUGAUCAUCCCUCCCGGCCCGUCCGGUGGCCAGUGAUCAGCAAGGCGAUAGAGGAUAGCAUCGUCUGGGACGGCGUCUACUUCGUCAGGAUCGCCGAGUGUGGAUAUGAGUACGAGCAGAGCUACGCCUUCUUGCCGCUCCUUCCGUUGUGCAUUUCGUUCCUGGCGCGAUCCGUUUUUGCACCUUUUGUUCCACUCUUGGGCUAUAGGGCAGUGUUGGGCUUGUCUGCGUACCUUCUGAAUAAUCUGGCCUUUUGCCUUGCAUCAGUUUAUUUUUAUUGGCUUUCGUUUAUCAUUUUGAAGGAUCCAAAUCAUGCUUUUCAAGCUUCCAUAUUUUUCUGCUUCAAUCCAGCCUCCAUAUUCUAUUCAUCAGUAUACUCAGAAAGUUUGUAUGCCCUUCUUUCUUUGGGAGGGGUAUACCAUCUGCUCCAAGGAAGCAAAACAAAAGCUGUGCUUCUGCUUGCUUUUUCUGGUUCUGCAAGGUCAAAUGGACUACUUAAUGCUGGGUAUUUCUGCUUUCAAGCAAUGCAUCAGGCUUGUGAUGCCAUUUUUCAGAAAAAGAAAAUUGGUCUGGCAUUGCAGAUUGUUUCUGCCACAAUUCUCCAGACAGUAAUCAUUUCCUUGCCAUUCAUUUCAUUUCAAGCAUAUGGGUUUUAUAACAUUUGUCAAAGAGGUCCCUCAGAUGAGUUGAGGCCUUGGUGCAAAUCCAGAUUGCCAUACUUGUAUGGUUUUAUUCAAGGUCAUUACUGGGGUGUCGGAUUCUUGAGCUACUUCCAACUAAAACAGCUCCCAAAUUUUUUUCUUGCAUCUCCAGUUCUGUUGCUGGCUGUGAGCUCCAUUGUUGAGUACACAAAGUCAGAUCCUAAAUUUGCGUUCUCUCUGGGCUUUCUCGCUACCUGUAUUGAAAGUAGUGCUCUAGUAUUCUACUCCACUGGCAUAGAGAAAAGAGCUGAGAUCAUUAAGGACUCAAGCUUUCCCAACAUGCCCAAAGAAAGAAUGCAUAGAAGCGGAAAGUGCAACAAGGAUGGUAAUGCUGUUGAAAGAACUAGUGGUUCUUAUCUGCAAGAAUGUAAUCCCAUUUCUGAGGCACCGAGAUAUCACCACAUCCUUGUACUUCCUUUUGUUCUACAUUUGGCAUUCUUGGUUGCUGUUGCAUUCUUUGUUAUGCAUGUCCAGGUUGCAACUCGAUUCCUCUCUUCCAGUCCCCCUAUUUAUUGGUUCGUUUCACACUUGUCUGUCUCUGGAGCUAGUUUGAGAUGGUCCCGUUUCAUCUGGGUUUAUUUUACAUCCUAUAUCCUCCUUGGGAGUCUGCUCUUCUCAAAUUUCUAUCCAUUCACAUAACAAGCUAGCAAUGUAAAAGGUUGCUUUUCUGGUACUCUCAUGAGCAUAAUUUGGGUAGCUAUCUAUUGCAGAUUGAUGCUUAUAGCUUGCAUAUCUUGGGCAGCAAUUACAUUUUUAUGCUUAUAAAGCUUCAUGUCCAGCAAAUUUUUGAUGUGGACUAACAUCAACAGCUCACCAUGAGAUGUUAAUGUUGAGAUAUUAAUGUGUCAUUCAUAUGGAGCGGAGUACCUUUGAUAUAUUCCUAAGGUGCACCAAUGCUGAAAAAAUGUUUGACAGUCAUCCGUGGAGGUUCUGACUAAUGACAUUGUGAUUCAUCUUCAAUGGUUAUAUUUGACUAUAAAAUUCAGUGUGAAAUCAAUCUGAAGAUUAUGCAAUCCAAUGUUGGGUUAGGGGCUGGAAUAUAACAAGUUAACAACCUUUUGGAAGAUCUUACAUGGUAGUAGAGUUGGAGCUUUCUAGAAAGAGCAUGAGAACUUUCGCAUUAUCUCCAUAUUCUGAAUAUGGUGUAUAGCGAGCUCCAAGAAGGUGGGUACUUGCACUCCCUUCAUUUCUCAUUGAAGCUCUUUUUCUUCCGGUAAUAGGCAAGCUAUCUCAGGUUAUGCAGAGCGAUGCCUCUGAGUAUUGGUCUCCUGUCCUCCUAAGUUAGAAUUCUUUAGCCAUGUGGAUAGAGCUUCUUUCAGGCUACUACAUCGAGCUAUAUUACUGUGUCCCAUUUUCGGGCCCUGGGUUACAUGGGAAGUAAGCCUAGCUACCUUAUACAUCUUCCUUUUAGUCCUUUUGGGUUGAUGAAUUUUGCGUGGCAUUAUUGGAGUUCGAUAUUUUACUGCAUAGGUGCUGAAUCCAGCUAAAGGGAGCACCAAAGAAACUUUUUUGGUGCAAGAUGACUGGAAUAAAACGCAACAUUCGAGCACAUAAUUUGGUUACCCUUCGAUGUUUGAUUUUUACUUGAAUUCCGGAGUUACGAAUUUCUAUCGGAAUUCAAUGUCAACAAAUUUUCUGGAAGAACUGUAACCUAUUUGUAACGGAAUUUUAAAUUUUAUGUCCUAUUUUUAUUAGUCAGACGUGA